UUAGAGUUUGAUCCUGGCUCAGGACGAACGCUGGCGGCGCGCCUAACACAUGCAAGUCGAACGAGCGAGAGAGAGCUUGCUUUCUUGAGCGAGUGGCGAGCGGGUGAGUAACGCGUGAGGAACCUGCCUCAAAGAGGGGGACAACAGUUGGAAACGACUGCUAAUACCGCAUAAGCCCACGGCUCGGCAUCGAGCAGAGGGAAAAGGAGCAAUCCGCUUUGAGAUGGCCUCGCGUCCGAUUAGCUAGUUGGUGAGGUAACGGCCCACCAAGGCGACGAUCGGUAGCCGGACUGAGAGGUUGAACGGCCACAUUGGGACUGAGACACGGCCCAGACUCCUACGGGAGGCAGCAGUGGGGAAUAUUGCACAAUGGGGGAAACCCUGAUGCAGCGACGCCGCGUGGAGGAAGAAGGUCUUCGGAUUGUAAACUCCUGUUGUUGAGGAAGAUAAUGACGGUACUCAACAAGGAAGUGACGGCUAACUACGUGCCAGCAGCCGCGGUAAAACGUAGGUCACAAGCGUUGUCCGGAAUUACUGGGUGUAAAGGGAGCGCAGGCGGGAAGAUAAGUUGGAAGUGAAAUCUAUGGGCUCAACCCAUAAACUGCUUUCAAAACUGUUUUUCUUGAGUAGUGCAGAGGUAGGCGGAAUUCCCGGUGUAGCGGUGGAAUGCGUAGAUAUCGGGAGGAACACCAGUGGCGAAGGCGGCCUACUGGGCACCAACUGACGCUGAGGCUCGAAAGUGUGGGUAGCAAACAGGAUUAGAUACCCUGGUAGUCCACACCGUAAACGAUGAUUACUAGGUGUUGGAGGAUUGACCCCUUCAGUGCCGCAGUUAACACAAUAAGUAAUCCACCUGGGGAGUACGACCGCAAGGUUGAAACUCAAAGGAAUUGACGGGGGCCCGCACAAGCAGUGGAGUAUGUGGUUUAAUUCGACGCAACGCGAAGAACCUUACCAAGUCUUGACAUCCUCUGACGAACGUAGAAAUACGUUUUCUCUUCGGAGCAGAGAGACAGGUGGUGCAUGGUUGUCGUCAGCUCGUGUCGUGAGAUGUUGGGUUAAGUCCCGCAAUGAGCGCAACCCUUAUGGUCAGUUACUACGCAAGAGGACUCUGGCCAGACUGCCGUUGACAAAACGGAGGAAGGUGGGGAUGACGUCAAAUCAUCAUGCCCUUUAUGACUUGGGCUACACACGUACUACAAUGGCGUUAAACAAAGAGAAGCAAGACCGCGAGGUGGAGCAAAACUCAGAAACAACGUCCCAGUUCGGACUGCAGGCUGCAACUCGCCUGCACGAAGUCGGAAUUGCUAGUAAUCGCAGAUCAGCAUGCUGCGGUGAAUACGUUCCCGAGCCUUGCACACACCGCCCGUCA
rnacentral:rRNA from 1 species